GCCCACAUAGCUCAGCAGGUAGAGCACUUCCAUGGUAAGGAAGAGGUCACCGGUUCAAUUCCGGUUGUGGGCU
rnacentral:tRNA from 5 species